CAGUCGCCGCGGUAAUACGAAGGGGGCUAGCGUUGUUCGGAAUUACUGGGCGUAAAGCGCACGUAGGCGGAUACUUAAGUCAGGGGUGAAAUCCCGGGGCUCAACCCCGGAACUGCCUUUGAUACUGGGUAUCUCGAGUCCGGAAGAGGUGAGUGGAAUUCCGAGUGUAGAGGUGAAAUUCGUAGAUAUUCGGAGGAACACCAGUGGCGAAGGCGGCUCACUGGUCCGGUACUGACGCUGAGGUGCGAAAGCGUGGGGAGCAAACAGGAUUAGAUACCCCAGUAGUCCCUGUCUCUUAUAC
rnacentral:rRNA from 1 species